GCGUGGGAAGCCCGGGUGCCGACGGUCUCGUUUACCUAGCAGCUCGGCUAGUCGGGCACUAGUAGUGCGCUUCCUCGCGGCUGUCGUAAGUCCCACGCUGUUGACUGUGACACCGAUCUCCGAUUCUGUCCUCGAGGCACUAAAGAUGUGGCGAAGGCCCGAAGUGAGGCCGCUGCCACUGCACUUUGUCCUGCGACUCCCCAAGGACUGGCCGAGGAAUGGCGGGCUAGCCACUUCCCAGUCCUGUCCCUACGGGAUCUGAAAAGACUCGGCAUCCCGGGAUCUGGAGGGUCACUUCCCUCGCUGCAUCCCCAUUGUGCAACUGCCAGUCUCAAAAUUGAUGUAGGUUAAUCUCCUGGAGAAACUAGAGGCAGCCAAGGAGGAUGCUGUUGCAAGAGAUUCCAGGAAAAGAUAAUGAUAAUGUGGACUUGGAAGAUGGCAGAGGAGUUGCAGAAAAGUGACCAGAUUUUAGAGGUCAUGGAAGACCCAGCAUGUGGGGGAAACUUCUUUAUUCUGCUAUCCAAAUAUAAAAUCUAUACAGAAGUAGCUCCUUUGUCCCUUAACCUUAGUAAGCAAAUUUGAUUAAGCAUUUGAAAGCUAUAGAGGUGCAAGGUGGGAGAAAUUCUGCCUCUGCUACUUGGCAGCUCUAUGAUAUUGGGCAAACCACUCAUACCACAUUUAUUUUCCUUAUAUUCAAAAUGGACAUAAUAAUACCUUCUUACUUAUCUCACUGGGUUAUUGGAAUGAUCAUAGUGUUUGGGUGGUUGGUUGUUUCUAGGAGGUAAUAAUGUAUGUGAAAAUAAUUGGUAUAUGGAAAAGGAUUAAAUACUAGUGCUGAAACAUUAUACAUGUUAACAUGCCUUUAAAUCUGUCUCCCUACCAUUCCAUCAUUUAUUUUCAGAGUCAGUUUUACUGAGAUACAAUUAAUGUAUUAAUGUAAGUGUACAGCUCAAUGAGUUUUGACAAAUGUAUACAGAUAUAUAACUACUACCACAAUCAUAAUAUAGAAUAUAUCAAUGGCCCCCCAAAUUUCCUCAUGCCCCUUUGCAUUUUUAUACUUUAAAAGUCAAUAUAUACCCAAGAGUGAUUAAAACAUACCUUCCCAAAAACUUGUGCGUAAAUAUUCUUAGUAGCAUUAUGUGUGAUAGCCCCCAAGUGGAAACAACCCAAAUAGCCAUCAACUGAUAAAUGGAUAAAUAAAAUGUAUAUCCAUGCAGUGGAAUAUAAUUCGGCCAUGAAAGGAAUGAAGUACCAAUGUCUGCUACAACAUGGAUAAACCUUGAAAACAUUAUGUUAAGUAAAAGAAGCCAGUCACAAAAGACCACACAUUGUAUGACUCCGUUUUUAUGAAAGGUCUAGAAGAGGCAAAUCUAUAGAGACAGAAAGUAGUGUUUGCCUCAUAUUGGGGGCUAGGGAAUAAUGAUGAAUGACUGCUAAUGGAUGUGGAAUUUCUUUUGGGGGUAAUGAAAAUGUUCUAAAAUUGAUUGUGGUGAUGGUUGCAAAACUCUGAAUAUAAUAAAACCAUUGAAUUA
rnacentral:lncRNA from 1 species